ACAAACUUGGUCAUUUAGAGGAAGUAAAAGUCGUAACAAGGUUUCCGUAGGUGAACCUGCGGAAGGAUCAUUGUAGAAAGUGAUGUAUGUGGGUGAAAGAGGUUUGUUUCUCUCUUCUAGCCACAAACAUUAACAUUCAUUAUCCAAUUAAACCUGUGCAAGAAUUGUUUGUAACAAAACAAAAACCUUUUUGUUUUGUCCAUUACAUUUCAUCUUUUCUUAUUCAUUUAAUGAAUAAGUAGGGAAGGAAUAAGUGGACAAACGAAUCAUUUAAACCGAGUAAAUUGUUGUGUCAGCUUUUUUGAAAUUAUAAAAAAGAAAAACUUUCAACAACGGAUCUCUUGGUUCUCGCAUCGAUGAAGAACGCAGC
rnacentral:misc_RNA from 1 species